rnacentral:lncRNA from 1 species
UUCUUCGACCCAUUGGGCCUUGCUGCUGACCCGGAGAAAAAGGCCACACUUCAACUUGCUGAGAUCAAGCAUGCUCGUCUUGCUAUGGUUGCAUUCUUGGGUUUUGCUGUCCAAGCUGCUGCUACUGGAAAAGGCCCACUUAACAACUGGGCUACCCACUUGAGUGACCCACUUCACACUACCAUUUUCGACACCUUCGGCUUCUUCUCUUAAGCCCAGCCCAGCUCACCUUUGUUUUUUCAGCUCGAUCUAGUUGAGAGGAUGGUUUUACGUAUAUUAUAUUAUUAUAUUCAUCUGCAUCUUUUCUUAAGCCCAGCACACCUUGUUUUUCAGCUCGAUCUAGUUGAGAGGAUGGUUUUACGUAUAUUAUAUUAUUAUAUUAUUAUAUUCAUCUGAAUCUUGUAAAAAUUGUAACAUUUGACACUCUAAGGAGAAGGCAAUAUCAAACGCUAUUGUUAAUCUAAGUUUGUCCUGUUCUUCAGUGUUGAUAUCGCAAAUUUUCUUACUUCCUUAUGGUUGCAUAAGGAAAUGAUAUAUGAAUGCCAUAGGGUUCUACAAUAGUAAAUCUAAGAGAUUGAUUAACAAAAUAUGCAUAAAAGAGGAUAGGCGUUA